UGCGGGAUCGUCUAAAGGUAGGACGUUUGGCUCUGAACCAAAAAAUUGGGGUUCGAAUCCCUGUCCCGCAG
rfam:Candidatus Yanofskybacteria bacterium RIFCSPLOWO2_01_FTLL_43_22 rifcsplowo2_01_scaffold_33, whole genome shotgun sequence.